rnacentral:rRNA from 1 species
AGUGAACGCUGGCGGUAGGCCUAACACAUGCAAGUCGAACGGCAGCACAGUAAGAGCUUGCUCUUAUGGGUGGCGAGUGGCGGACGGGUGAGGAAUACAUCGGAAUCUACCUUUUCGUGGGGGAUAACGUAGGGAAACUUACGCUAAUACCGCAUACGACCCUCGGGUGAAAGCAGGGGACCUUCGGGCCUUGCGCGGAUAGAUGAGCCGAUGUCGGAUUAGCUAGUUGGCGGGGUAAAGGCCCACCAAGGCGACGAUCCGUAGCUGGUCUGAGAGGAUGAUCAGCCACACUGGAACUGAGACACGGUCCAG